CCAAAAAUUACACCUCCAGCUAGACCCUUUUGUUAUCGACAUAAUUGAUGUUGCCAAUAAUUAACAAGUUCCGGGUCGAAUCCGAUACCGAUACCAAUAGUAUAUUCACCUGUUACCUAUUACCUUAUCUGUAUGUUCCGCAUCUGACAGGCGCACCACCAAACAGUGUAUUUAGGAUUUUGCUAUAUACACAGGUCAUAAUCACAGGGUUGACACUACUAAAUUCAAUCAUUGUCAAAUUGUUCCCUAUUAUAGUAUUUUAAUCAGUAAUACUUUCUAAGAUAACAAUACGAAUACUAAAAAUCUGGACUUAAAUAAGGCGUAUAGGUACAGUUUUCAAUUUGUUAGCAGGCAUGACGUAAAACAGCGAAUAAAAGAAUUCAACUUUAUUUACAAUGCUGUUGAUUAAAAAAUACUCCAUUCCAGGACCUUUUGUUUUCCAAAUAAUUAAUAUUACCAAUAAUUGAUAAGUUCCAGGUCGACAGGUUCAAACAGAAAGAUUUUGAAAGCAGAGAAAACUGUGUAUUUUAUAAUCGGCAUAACUUUAUCGGAUGACAAUACCAAUACUAAAAUAAGGC
rnacentral:lncRNA from 1 species